rnacentral:lncRNA from 1 species
CAAAAGUCCAUAAAAAUAAUCCAAAUGAAAUAAAACAAGUCACCAUUAAAUUUUAGAGGAAAACAUAAUAGGAGUUUGUGUUCAACAAAAUUGCGAAAUAAUAAAAAUGGAAGGGUUAAAAAAUAAAUCAAACUGGAAAAUAAAAUGGAAAAAUAAAGAAAUAAAAAUGACACAAAUGGAAAAUAAAUGGUCAAGGUGAACAUGCUAGGA